rnacentral:rRNA from 1 species
GUGGGGAAUAUUGCGCAAUGGGGGCAACCCUGACGCAGCAACGCCGCGUGAUUGAAGAAGGCCUUCGGGUUGUAAAGAUCUUUAAUUGGGGACGAAAGAAAUGACGGUACCCAAAGAAUAAGCUCCGGCUAACUACGUGCCAGCAGCCGCGGUAAUACGUAGGGAGCAAGCGUUAUCCGGAUUUACUGGGUGUAAAGGGCGAGUAGGCGGGCUGGCAAGUUGGGAGUGAAAUCCCGGGGCUUAACCCCGGAACUGCUUUCAAAACUGCUGGUCUUGAGUGAUGGAGAGGCAGGCGGAAUUCCGUGUGUAGCGGUGAAAUGCGUAGAUAUACGGAGGAACACCAGUGGCGAAGGCGGCCUGCUGGACAUUAACUGACGCUGAGGAGCGAAAGCGUGGGGAGCAAACAGGA